rnacentral:rRNA from 1 species
AUUGAACGCUGGCGGCAGGCCUAACACAUGCAAGUCGAGCGGAUGAGAGGAGCUUGCUCCUUGAUUUAGCGGCGGACGGGUGAGUAAUGCCUAGGAAUCUGCCUGGUAGUGGGGGAUAACGUCCGGAAACGGGCGCUAAUACCGCAUACGUCCUACGGGGGAAAGCAGGGGACCUUCGGGCCUCGCGCUAUCAGAUGAGCCUAGGUCGGAUUAGCUAGUUGGUGAGGUAAUGGCUCACCAAGGCGACGAUCCGUAACUGGUCUGAGAGGAUGAUCAGUCACACUGGAACUGAGACACGGUCCAGACUCCUACGGGAGGCAGCAGUGGGGAAUAUUGGACAAUGGGCGAAAGCCUGAUCCAGCCAUGCCGCGUGUGUGAAGAAGGUCUUCGGAUUGUAAAGCACUUUAAGUUGGGAGGAAGGGUUGUAGAUUAAUACUCUGCAAUUUUGACGUUACCGACAGAAUAAGCACCGGCUAACUUCGUGCCAGCCGCCGCGGUAAAAC